UGAAAAUAUCAAUUACAGGAUUAUGGAUUAUACAAUGCACGAUUUAUUGCUUCAAAGUUCGACAAGCAUCGCCAUUGAUCUGGGAUGUAUAAUUAUUUAUUAUGCUAAUUCAAGUUUUAGAAACUAAUAAAGUUCUUCUCCUUCAGGCUCUCGAUCGUUUCCUUGAUGCUAGUUUCCAGAGGGAUGUAGUCGAGGCCCAAGCUUUUAAACUUUUCCUUGGAGACUUGGUAUACCGGCACAAAGGGCUUGUCAUCUGCACACCUGCCAGCGUUAUAGUCACAGCUUAGCACACCAAAAGGAGAUGGCAGCCACGGAAUGUACUCAAAUUACAGCUUCCUUUUAUAGAAUCAUUUCUUCAGCCAUUAGUGACCGAUGAACAAGCAAUGCAAAAGACCUCUCGAUACAAUGUACAUGGCAAGAAGAACAAGCUGGUCAUAGCCGCUAAAUGAGUAAUACCAGAGGAAAGCUAUGCCAGCAUUACAGAAUGUUACUGACUAAUUUAUAUGGCGCACAUAAUCAGAUAUCAAUAUGAUUGGAUAUUCAAAAAUCUACAACUCUUUCAAUUCAAAGCAAAAGUUAACUACUACGAACUUCAUACAGUAGAACUUAGAAGAACACGAUGCUAUUUCAUUAUUGCUAUGUUUUUAAUUCUAGGAGAGAUGGUUCUAUGUAAUUCUUCGAAUUGGAUGGAUGACGAUAAAGAGAGCGAAAGUGAAGACAUAAGGAUAAUAAAUAAAAUAAAAUAAGCAAUUGCAUUAUCCAUUGGCCUAAUCUAAAGAACAGACAUUAUAGAAGCACACAAUAAUGAGACCAUGCGGUCUGCCUAAUCUGGAACUUCGAUUUUAUAUUCAAUAUACAUCAAAAUUGCAAUUAUACAAAAUGCCUAAUAAUAGAACCAUAAGCCGUCGUGUUCCAAUUAUUUGGAAUCAAUUAUAUGGAUCUUUUCCUACCAUCGAGUCAUGUAUAAGAUAAUAAUUUUAGUUGAAUAAAAUAUCAUUCAAAUCCUUUUUUAUUAUUACUACUAAGUACUAACAUCUUCUUAAGCCGUCCGCUAACCCCUUUGCACCGCAACUAUUAAUUAAUCAUCUUUUCAAGCUAUAACAUACAUGUUUACUUUGGACAUGUUCAUCUUAAUUUGGUUACUCCUCGUUUUAUAUUUUAUUGGAAACACACCUAAUUCUCUAUGAUUGAAGUCAUUUUUUUUUUAUCCUCCCUAAUAAUUUUGCAUGUUCAUCUCAACAUUCUCAUCUUAGUUACUAAAACUUUUUUGUGCAUAUUCUUUCCAAACAAUCCAAUACUCAGAUUGGUAGCCACAAAACAGCCAAUGCACCUCCCAAUUUUAAUUAUCUAAUUUUUAUUUUAUGAACAAUGUCUUCAUCAAUCUCUCCAUUUUUUCAAAAAUAGAUCCAAGAAUUUUUUUAUUUUACAAUAAAAGCUAAACACCAUUAAAAAAUUGCAAUACUAUGGGAAGCAUGAAACUUGAAAGAAAGAUCAGUAACCACCGAGCAAACUCUUCAGAUAUAACGAAUAGAAUUUUGUCAUCAAUCAAAAAGACUUGUAAACACAACACUUGGAUCACAAGACAAUAAAAGCAACUGAAAAUAGUAACUUACUUAUCAGGGAGUUGAAAAGAAGGAUAAAGUUCAUGUAUGAUCUUCAAAAGCUCUGAGUAAUGAACAACUCUUUCGACAAGACAGUAUCUUCCCGAUGCUGAGGGAAGUUCAAAAGCCAGAACGUGUGCCAUGGCAACAUCUUGAACAUUUACCCACCCAUAGGUUGCAUUAGGAAAGGUGGAGGAACCUAAAGACAAAAAAAACAGAGCCAAAGUCAUAAUUCUCUUAUACGAACCAUUUUCUAGAAAAUAAUUACCAAGAUUUGGAAGAAUCAGAACAGUUCUAGGAUAUAGAUCACAACCAAAACAUUCAACACUGCAUAUUGAGACAGCAGGCACUUAAAAUACAUGAACAGAACAUGAUCUCGAAAUGUCAUAUUGUUUGGUUGCCUGAAAAAAACUGAAGUCAGCAUUAACAACAUAUUCUUCCCAUCCUCGACAUAGCCAUCAGGCUACAUUUGCCUACUCCUAAGCAAUAAAUAUUUAAUUUUAAGAUUCAGUAUCCAAGAUCACAUCAUCAAUAUAAGUUUGUCUAAUCAAAAAAAGAAAAGGCAAAAAGAAAACUUCAUUAAUAGUUCAUACUUAGCAAGUGAAACUUUGCUCAUCUAUUCCUACGUAUCGAACUCAUCGAAAAUCCGAACCUUAACAGCAUUGAGCUACAACUAAUAUUUGCAACGGGUAGUCAAAUAAAUAUUGUAUAACGCCAAUGAUCUUUUAAAAGAUUAAUAAAUUUUGACACAGAUACAUAACAUAUAUAGAUUCGUACAAUCGGUGGUAUUCCUAUAUUUAGUAUUUUAAGAGAUACUCGUCUGACUUUCUUUUUCGAUUUUCUUGAUAAAUGAAAUAGAAUAGAGUGCUCCUAUUUUUACCGAGAGUCGUCCACCUCCCAUGGAUUUGAUUCCUUCCCCUAUAAAAAAACUUGCAAUGCCAACCCCAUUUGUAAUUCCAUCAAUUAUAUAUCUAUCAAAAAACUGAGUUAGUUCGGUUAAUCCCCUUAUACCCAUGGUAAAAACCUUAGUAUAAAAAAAAUCUAAGUAACAACGAUUAUAUGACCAAUCAAAAUUCCUUCGAAAUCGAAAGUAUCAAGUAAUCAGAGCGGGCGGAGAGAGAGGGAUUCGAACCCUCGGUACGAAUAACUCGUACAACGGAUUAGCAAUCCGUCGCUUUAGUCCACUCAGCCAUCUCUCCCAAUUUAAAUAAAAUUGAAAUUUCAAUAAAAUUUCAAAUGAAAUUGAAAUUAACUAUUUCAAUGAAAAUUGAAAUUAAAUAAAAAAAAUAAAAAAGGAAAAAUUUUAGAAGAACAUAAUCUCAUAACUUCAAACCUAAACUUUAAAUUACCCUGUCUAAUUGUAUUAAAAUUGCAUGGACAAUAUAGAUAUGAACAUAAUAAUCACAUGACUUGCUACAAUCAAGUUGUCUACAAUAAGCAGAGCAAACUAGCAAAUGUUAACGGUCAAAAUGUUGGGAUGCCUCUUAAAUCCAGCAAACUUAAUGUGAGAAUUCAGUGUUGUUAAACAUGAAGCUGUAACAACUAAGGGCAACAGAAUGCAGUGGAAAUUGAGAAUAAAUUUGAAAAAGGGAUGCACUGCAAUUAAAUGUUGGCCAUAUCACAAGAAUACAGGAGGCAAACAAAAUAGAAGUGAUAAAUCUAGAUGCUAAAGCUUCAAGCUGCAAAUACACUUGCUACUUUAAUCAACUAAAAGAGAAAAAACAAGAUUCUUUCACAAUAGACCAAAACACUCUUUCCCUAAAUACUCUUGUGUUGGAUCAUGCCUUAGAAUAACCAGCAUAACACCAAUAUAUAAUUCAUCAUGUAGACAAAAUAAACAAAUCAGCAAUCUAUAGAUGUAUCAAAUACUCUUCUUUCUUUCCUUUAAAAUAUGAACCAAAAGGAAGGAAAAGGAUGGGAUAAAAAGGAAAGGAGAGAAAGGAAGGUACAUGCAUCUCAAGGUAUCAUCUCCUUUCAAUUGCAUUGAUGGCCUUUAUUUUAUGACAGAUAUAUUACAUAUAUAUUCAAGAAGAAUUCAUAGGAUAAGAAUCGUCAGAUCUAUUUGGCCAAAUGAGCAUAUCAUCAUCAGUUUGUACAGUUAUCUGGCAGCUAGAAUGGAAUGAUGCUAAUGGUAAAUGACAAACUUCGAAUGAUGCUAAUGGGCAAACAGAAACCAAGGCCUCAAUAUCUAACUGCCACAGCAUGAAAUCACUUGAUAGCCAGCCAAAUAGUCAUUUCCAAUAAUAUCAUUUGCGAUUUAGAAGUUGUCAUGAUAUUGGCAAACUUCAUUUGAGACUGACAAAUUGCAGAGUAAAAGUUCCAAACUAGGAUCAGAUUUGAAACAAAUUAAGCUUCAUACCAUUUAUUAGGUUCAGGAUUGCAGCAGAACUUGUGUUAAGUGUUGACUGCAGAAGAGGACCCAUGACCAUUCCUGGAUUUAUCGUGGCUAUGUCCAUGCCAUUCUCUUUAGAAAACUUCCAACCAGCUUCCUCUGCCAAAGUCUUCGAGAGUACAUACCAUUUCUGGGGUAAUAUGAGAGAUCUUAGAAAACAUGCAUAAUAAAAUGAAGUUGAAAUAUUUUAUUGAAGGCAUCUACAAAGAAAAAAGAUUUGAGCUAUAAUAAACUUAAAUCCAAAGAAACUAACUGAUAUCAAACAAAUAGAAGGUGCAACAAUACAGACAUGGACAAUAUUAUUUAUGAUAAUUACAGGCGAAACAUAAAUAUGAAUAGAUUAGAGAUUUACUGGGAAGUUUUAAGCAGGCCAUGUAUUGUCACUUCACUAAACGCACCAUAUUGCAGAAUUCAGAGUUUAAUUAUACUUUGAGGCAAUAAGUUUGGCCAAAUUAGUAAAUCGUAAUUCUAAAAACCUGGGUAAAAUCAGUACUAGAUACUAUGAUUUAACAUCUUUUUAUUUCUUUCUCAUUCCCAACCGAGAGAAUCCACUGCCAAGGCUGAAACAGUCUGCUUUCAGCACCACAUUGACCACAACCAGAGUACUGCUAUAUUACACUGCUAUACAUAAGUAUUUAGGUGUUCCUUCAUGCCAGACUAUCAUCCAGAUAGAAUGGGUUUUAUUAGUUGGUAUUCAUUAUUUUCUUCUAGUGAUAAUUUACAUGCAGGACUGAUCUGAUCCUAGGAUGCUACAAUCCCUUCCAAGCUGAAAACAAGACUACAAGGUGGUGCAAUCUCUUUCAAACUAAUGCCAAACCAUCAUCUUCACACUUGAAUGGGACAUAAAAUCUCAGCCAGGAGAAAUUAAGCAUUAUCUUGAAGACCAAUUUAAGAUUGUAUAAUACGACUUUCAAACUAGCUAGCAUGGCCAUGAAAAUCAGUCUUCAGUUAUUAUAAACCACAUAUAGCAGUCUUCAUAACUUUAACAGUAUGGUUCUCCAAAAUCAUCCAAGUGACUGUAUAUUGUAUUCAGAAGGUUACUAGAUAAACUUGUCUCACAACCUCCGCAUAACAUUGUGUAUAUUAUCUGGUGUGUUGCGAAAACAUGACAGAAAGGUUUUCUAAAAUAAAGGAAUCUUUUGGCAUUAAAUUAGCAUUUUACAAAGGUUAUCGCCAUGAUGUGCGGUACCUUUCGAUAAAAUAAUAUAGGGAGCACUGAAAUAGAAUAUAGAUAAAUUAAAACCUAUGACAUGAUUGCAGUUGAAAAGAUAAUACACAAACAAAAAAACUACCCAGUACAUACUGUCAGAUACCUUUUGCUGCUCGCAAACCUCAGGACUUGAAAACCAUGUCUCAUCAACAACUACAUCAGGAGUUCGUGGUUUACUAUUGCAUGCAACAGCAGCCAUUGAUGAUGUCACCACUACCUUUUUCACAGACGACUUCUUACAGGAUGCCAAAACAUUGAGUGUGCCCUUCACUGCAGGUUCAAUUAUCUCAGCCUAAAAUUUAAGUAAAUAAAUCAGAUAAAGCUUGAUAUCAUUUGCAAAUAGAUCAAGAACCCCAUGGUCAGAUAUGAGAUAAAAGAGACAAUGAUAGACAUGAAAAGCAAGCAAUGUCCUCUUGAUAAGCAACAUCUAAUAGCAGAUACUCCAAAACCAUUGUAUCAUGUAACAGAGAAUCAAUAACAACUAUUUCUUUGGUGGAACUCUUAGCGGGUCUUAUGGUUUUGUAAUAACAGCUGAUAGAAAUAGAAAGCAAUAAAAUUAUGAAAACAGUCCUUUCUAUAUGCUUUUACUGAGUUUUCAAGGCAAAAAAUAUCCCAAAAAUAUUGCAUUUUACAUGGGGCUAGUUACUAAUCACACAGUUUACAAAGAAACAAACUCAUUUAUGUAAAAUGGAUGGUGAAGGGCCAUUGGAUGGCCCUCAUGUUCCAUGCCGUUACCAAACAGAUUUACACUGGGAUACCUUCACUCUUCGUUGCUGUUACCUAACAGAUGCUGUACUGGCAUUUCAACUAGAUAUCAUCUAUUAGGUAUAACCUUGUUCAAUAAGAAAACAGAAAAAGGAAAGGGAUAUUCUAAAACUUUUAUAACUGCCUUAAUGUGUAAGUGUCAUGACCCGGGCCUGAUGGGCUAACUGGCCUAUCAACUUCGUUUGGUCUAAACCACUGACCAAAAUGCUUAAGCUGAAGUUGAUAGUAGUACACUCAUCAGACUCUUAUAAGUCAAUCUUAAUCCUGCCCACUUUCGAUGUGGGACUAAUUAGGAGUGUUACAAUCACCCCCACUCAAAGGCUUGACGUUCUCGUCAAGCCCCAACAUAACCCAGAUCAAACCCUAGCAUAGUGCAUGUUCGUCUACGGGUAGCCCUUUCCUACUCGAGCCCCCUCACCAUGCCCAAAUGCUAGGUCGGCUCUGAUACCAAAUAUAAUGACUCGGGUCUGAUGGGCUAACUAGCCUAUCAACUUCGUUUGGUCUAAACCACUGACCAAAAUGCUUAAGCUGAAGUUGAUAGUAGAACACUCAUCAGACCCUUAUAAGUCAAUCUUAAUUCUGCCCACUUUCGAUGUGGGACUAAUCAUGGGUGUUACAGUAAGUGUUGCAUUUAGGGACAUACUCAGAAAGCAAGGUUCAAAGAGAAAAUGUAAGUGAAUGAGCAUAAUUAUAUGUGCAUAAAUAAUAGAGUUAUGAAAUUAAAGAAACUUGUCAAAAAUUAAACAAUAUAGUAACAUUUACAGGUUGGUUUGGCAGUAGAGAACUAGAGAUCAUAAAUGUAAACCUGUGGAUUUGUGACUGCAUAAUAAUAAGGAGAUGCAGUGUGAAAAACACCAUCACAACCCUCAACCACAACAUCAAAGGACCCCUCUUCUGAUAAGUUGGCUUUAAACAAAAGCAACCUCUCAGUGGCUCCCUCCAGAGCACGCAAGUGCUGAGUCUUCUUUUGAUCAGCUGACAAGAAUGAUUUCAAAAUAUUGAAAAGAAGACAUAAGAAUUAAGAUGGAGAGGAAGUAUACAAAUAUAUAAUCUUAUACCAUCAAUAUAAUUAUUAUAUUAAGGGUCCCAACAUGAUUUCAGUCAGCAAUAUUAAAGGAAGAUCAGAUUACAGUCAGGGUAAUUUAGGUUUCUUCCUACAAGAUAUAUCCAAUAAACCUGGUGUUUUAGGCAAAGGCUAUGGAAUGUAAAGCAAUAGGCAAACAGAGUAGGAUCAUUUGCAUGCAUAUUUACAAUAAAAGAAUCUUUCAAGGAAACAAACAUCGAGCAGGAAAAUAUCAUGUAAAUCAGUUUUCCAUGGAUUGAUGCAUUGAGCAGGAAAAUACUUCAUAACUACUACUCUCUUGUUAGUGCAAACUGUAGUCAAUUGAAAAAUAUUAAAUAAGUAUAAUCUUAUAAGCCCCCAUCUAAAUUUUAAGCCCAUUAAUCAGAAACGGUAAUCAUUUGCACAUUCAGGAUUGUUACUUGUUUUCAUUUCUAAUAGUCGGAUACUCAGCCGAAUGAUGAUUACCUUCAAUCUUUUUGCACUGUUUUUUUAAUUUUGAAAGUUACACACACCACAAACAGACGUCAUUUUGGAUAUACCCCAAGAACAGUUUCAUAUUUGAUCAAUUCAGAUCAUGAUGCAGAUGUGUGACUCACAACAUCCGGAAUAAAUAACAUAGGCUUCCCACUCCUUUGUUCUUAGAAUUCGAGCUCACGCAAUCAUCUUGUGGGAUUGCAAAAGGUCCGAAAACAUUUAGAAGGGAAAAGAUCCAAACGAUCGAGAGUGUGUUAGAUGAGUCGAAUCUAAUCUUCAGAAGAAUACCGAGUUUAGCACGAACCCGGGUCACGCACGGAGGCGCGGACGGUGUAGCCGCGCUGGAGGAGGAACUUCACAAGCCACGAGGCGAUGAAGCCGGACGCGCCCGUGACACACACCACCUUCCCGCCGCCGCUCAUCGUGACUACAACUCUCGCUCGGCCGGGCGCUGUUUUAGUGGAAGAGCAGGCAAAGGAUCGCAGUGGUCUGUUGAGAAGGCCGCUCCUCUGCGGCAUAAAUAGGGCGACAAAGGCGGAACAUAAUUACCAGACGGCCAACUACAUCCGCUGCUCUUAACACUAACAUCACAUGACGUUACGACUUACGACACCUGCCUGCGGCGGCGCAUCGCAACUUGCGUAAGCAGCAAUUGCGAGAGAUAUAUAUAUAUAUAUAUAUAUACCUUUGUGCAUAUUGUUGCCUUGUGUCAGCCAACAAAGACAAUUAGUAUCGUAUUGGCUGAUAAAUAUUGUGUUAGCAAUAUAAUAGCGAACGUAGGCAGUCUAUAAUUAAUUUGACCUAGAUGACCUGAUUAUUCAACAUUUCCCCUGCUUAUUACAAAUUGAUGCAUGUUCAUCUGUUUUGAUUCACAAGAUUUCACUCUGAUCAUCGAUUCGGUGUUUGCAGGGAACUCUCGACGGGUGCGAUCCUUCAAGCACUGAGAGACGAAACAAUGAACGAUCCUUGCGAUCGAAUUGAGCUGGCAUUGAGUCAUGCUUUCGACAGGCCAUCACUUUUGGGUCAGCCAUGACCGACGAUGUCGACUUCGAUGCGCUGUCAUGCUCGUUGUUCAGCUUGAUGAGUUUUGCAGUCGGAGUAAUAGGGUCUUUUUUCUUUUGUUGUCUGAAUCAAAUGUCAACUAUCUACUUUAUCGAACAGCCAUUGAUUGAUAUGACAGUCCAUGCUCGUCGUGUGACUUGAAAUCGUGAUGUAGCUAUGUGACAUCCAAGUCGAAUAUUACAAGAGUGUACUUGAAAGUUUCUCACAGGUGCAUAAGAAUUGAACACAAGGUAUGAAAGAGAGAUGCAAUGUACUUUUGGUAUCUCUAUCGUUCCAAGUGAGUGAUAGAUAACGUAGCCGUUUGGCUAAAAAUAACGCCUCAUCGGUUGUCUGUAGUUGUCGAUAAGUGGCACAAUUGCUGGAGUAGUGGGUAUUGGCAUCGCCUGAUCUAAAAUUAACUCAAUUUUAAUCCAAUUUGAGCGUCUUGUGUGAUUUCAUUCAUUCAUUGAUUUAUCCGCAACUUUUGUAGGUCUUCAGAUGAGUUGGAGGAAUAUUUCAGAAACCAAAAUUUACUAAACAAAGAGGAUUGAUUCAUUAAAUUCAUUAUUAAGUGACUCAUUCUUCAUCGAGAGUUAAAAACCUCAUUCAAUUUUUUUUUUCAAAAUUUCAUUCGGUAGUUUUUUUAAUAAAGAUCUUAAUUGUCGAUAACGAGAUCCUAAAAUAAAAUUUUAUCUUUAUCGCUUAUCCUUUUCUAAUAAAUUUAUAAAAAAAUUUAAAAAAAAAAAAAAUCUUUUCUUACUUAUGUUUAGAUGACAUUUUCAUUUACAAUGAAUAAUUGUCCAAUUCAUUUCUUUGAUUUUACUACUAACUACAGGUAUCGAAGUAAAUAUUCCAAUAUAAACUUAUAAUCGAUCACACCAACAACAGCAUGACACCAUAAUGGAGCACAAAUAUGUCUUAGUUUCUAAAAAACAAAUUGCAUGUGCUGAAAAGAUCAAUUACAGGAUUAUGCAAUGCAUGAUUCAUUGCUUCAAAGUUUGACAAGCAUCGUCAUUGAUCUGGGAUGCAAAAUUAUUUAUUAUGCUAAUUCAAGUUUUAGAAACUAAUAAAGCUCUUCUCCUUCAGGCUCUCAAUCGUCUCCUUGAUGCUUGUUUCCAAAGGAAUAUAAUCGAGGCCCAAGCUUUUAAACUUUUCCUCGGAGACUUGGCAUACCGGCAUAAAGGGCUUGUCAUCGGCACACCUGCCAACGUUAUAGUCACAGCUUAGUACACCAAAAGGAGAUGGUAGCCACAGAAUGUACUAAAAUUACAGCUUCCUUUUAUAGAAUCAUUUCUUCAGCCAUUAGUGACCGAUGAACAAGCAAUGCCAAAGACCUCGAUACAAUGUACAUGGCAACAAGAACAAGCUGGUCAUAGCCGCUAAAUGAAUUAUACCAGAGGAAGCUAUGCCAGCAUUACAGAAUGUUACUGACUAAUUUAUAUGAUGCACAUUAUCAGAUAUCAAUAUGAUCAGAUGUUCAGAAGUUCUAGAACUCUUUCAAUUCAAAGCAAAAGUUAAGAAUUAUGAACUUCGUACAGUACAACUUAGAAGAACUCGACGAAGAUAUGCUUCGAAAACCAUUCACCUUGUGUCUUGCUGUUGUUGGGUCUUAUUGCUAUUUCAUUACUACUAUGUUUUUAAUUCUAGGAGAGAUGGUUCUAUGUAUUACUUAGAAUUGCACGGAUGACGUUAAAGAGAGUGAAAGUGAAGACAGAAGGAUAAUAAAUAAAAUAAAAUAAAAUAAAGCAAUUGUAUUAUCCAUUGACCUAAACUAAAGAAUAGACAUUAUAGAAGCACACAACAAUUAGACCAUGGGGUAUGCCUAACCUGGAACUUAGAUUUUAUAUCCUAUAUACAUCAAAAUUGCAAUUAUACAAAAUGCCUAAUAAUAGAACCAUAAGCCGUCGUGUUCCAAUUAUUUGGAGUCAUGUAUAAGAUAAUAAUUUUAGUUGAAUAAAAUAUCAUUCAAAUCCUUUUUUAUUAUUGGAAACACACCUAAUUCUCUAUGAUUGAAGUCAUUUUUUUUUAUCCUCCCUAAUGAUUUUGUAUGUUCAUCUCACCAUUCUCAUCUUAGUUACUAAAAUUUUUUGUGCAUAUUCUUUCCAAACAAUCCAAUACUCAGAUUGGUAGCCACAAAACUGCCAAUGCACCUCCCAAUUUUAAUUAUCUAAUUUUUAUUUUAUGAACAAUGUCUUCAUCAAUCUCUCCAUUUUGUUCAACAAUAGAUCCAAGAAUUUUUUUUAUUUUACAAUAAAGGAUAAACACCAUUAAAAAAUUCCAAUACUAUGGGAAGCAUGAAACUUCGAGAGAAAGAUCAGUUACCACCGAGCAAACUCUUCAGAUACAACAGAUAGAAUUUUUUCAUCAAUCAACAAGACUUGUAAACACGACACUUGGAUCACAAGACAAUAAAAGCAACUGAAAAUAGUAACUUACUUAUCAGGGAGUUGAAAAGAAGGAUAAAGUUCAUGUAUGAUCUUCAAAAUCUCUGAGUAAUGAACAACUCUUUCGACAAGACAGUAUCUUCCUGAUGCUGAGGGAAGUUCAAAAGCCAGAACGUGCGCCAUGGCAACAUCUUGAACAUUUACCCACCCAAUAGUUGCAUCAGGAAAGGUGGAGGAACCUAAAGACAAAAAAAAAAACAGAUAGCCAAAGUCAUAAUUCUCUUAUACGAACCAUUUUCUAGAAAAUAAUUACCAAGAUUUGGAAGAAUCAAAACCAUUCUAGGAUAUAGAUCACAACCAAAACAUUCAACACUGGACAUUGAGACAGCAGGCACUUAAAAUACAUGAACAGAACAUGAUCUUGAAAUGUCAUAUUGUUUGGUUGCCUGAAAAAAGCUUAAGUCUGCAUUAACAACAUAUUCCUCCCAUCUUCGACAUAGCCAUCAGGCUACAUUUGCCUACUCUUAAGCAAUAAAUAUUUAAUUUUAAGAUUCAGUAUCCAAAAUCACAUCAUCACUCUAAGUUUGUCUAACCAAAAAAAGAAAAGGCAAAAAAAAAACUUCAUUAAUAGUUCAUACUUAGCAAGUGAAACUUUUCUCAUCUAUUCCUACGUAUUGAACUCAUCGAAAAUCUGAACCUUAACAGCACUGAGCUACUACUAAUAUUUACAAUGGGUAGUCAAAUAAAUAGUGUAUACGCCAAUGAUCUUUUAAAAGAUUAAUAAAUUUUGCACAAAGAACAUAAUCUCAUAACUUCAAACCUAAACAUUAAAUGACCCCAUCUAAUUGUAUUAAAAUUGCAUGGACAAUAUAGAUAUGAACAUAAUAAUCACAUGACUUGCUACAAUGAAGUUGUCAACAAUAAGCGGAGCAAACUAGCAAAUGUUGACGGUCAAAAUGUUGGGAUGCCUCUUAAAUACAGCAAACUUAAUGUAAGAAUUCGGUGUUGUUAAACAUGAAGCUGUAACAACUAAGAACAGAAUGCAGUGGAAAUUGAGAAGAAAUUUGAAAAAGGGAUGCACUGUAAUUAAAUGUUGGCCAUAUCACAAGAAUAAAGGAGGCAAACAAAAUAGAUGUGAUAAAUCUUGAUGCUAAAGCUUCAAGCUGCAAAUACUCUUGCUACUUUAAUCAACUAAAAGAGAAAAAACAAGAUUCUUUCACAGUAGACCAAAACACUCUUUCCCUAAAUACUAUUGUGUUGGAUCAUGCCUUAGAAUCACAUGCAUAACACCAAUAUAUAAUUCAUCAUGCAGACAAAAUAAACAAAUCAGCAAUCUAUAGAGGUAUCAAAUACUCUUCUUUCUUUCCUUUAAGAAGUGAACCAAAAGGAAGGAAAAGGAUGGGAUAAAAAGGAAAGGAGAGAAAGGAAGGUACAUGCAUCUCAAGGUAUCAUCUCCUAUACAUUGCAUUGAUGACCUUUGAUUUGUGACAGAUAUUACAUAUAUAUUCAAGAAGAAUUCAUAGUAUAAGAAUCAUCAGAUCUAUUUGGCCAAAUGAAAAUAUCAUCAUCAAUUUGUACAGUUAUCUGGCAGCUAGAAUGGAAUGAUGCUAAUGGUAAAUGACAAACUUCAAAUGAUGCUAAUGGGCAAACAGAAACCAAGGCCUCAAUAUCUAACAGACACAGCAUGAAAUCACUUGAUAACCAGGCAUCUAGUCAUUUCCAAUAAUAUCAUUUGUGAUUUAGAAGUUGUCAGGAUAUUGGCAAACUUCAUUUGAGACUGACAAAUUGCAGAGUAAAAGUUCCAAACUAGGAUCAGAUUUGAAACAAAUUAAGCUUCAUACCAUUUAUUAGGUUCAGGAUUGCAGCAGAACUUGUGUUAAGUGUUGACUGCAGAAGAGGACCUAUGACCAUUCCUGGAUUUAUCGUGACUAUAUCUAUGCCAUUCUCUUUAGAAAACUUCCAAGCAGCUUCCUCUGCCAAAGUCUUCGAGAGUACAUACCAUUGCUGGGGUAAUAUGAGAGAUCUUAGAAAACAUGCAUAAUAAAAAGUUGAAUUUUUUUAUUGAAGGCAUCUAUAAAGAAAAAAGAUUUGAGAUGUAAUAAAUGUAAAUCCAAAGAAAUUAACUAAUAACAAACAAAUAGAAGGUGCAACAAUACAGACACGGAAAUUGUUGGAUUUUUUUUUUUUGACAUGGACAUUGUUAUUUAUGAUAAUUCCAGUCGAAACAUAAAUAUGAAUAGAUUAGAGACUUACUGGGAGGUUUUAAGCAGGCCAGGUAUUGUCACUUCACUAAACGCACCAUGUUGCAGAAUUCAGAGUCUAAUUAUUUUUUGAGGCAAUAUAUUUGGCCAAAUUAGUAAAUCAUAAUACUAGAAACCUGAGGACAAUCAGUACUAGAUAUUAUGAUUUAAUAUCUUUUUAUUUCUUUCUCAUUCCCAACCCAGAGAAUCCACUGCCAAGGCUGAAACGGAGUAGCUUUCAGCACCACAUGGACCACAACCAGAGUACUGCUAUAUUACACUGCUAUACUACUCUGCUACACAUAAGUAUUUAGGUGUUUCUUUAUGACAGACCAUCAUCCAGAUAGAAUGGAUUUUAUUAAUUGGUAUUCAUUAUUUUCUUCUAGUGAUAAUUUACAUGCAGGACUGAUCUGAUCCUAGGAUGCUACAAUCCCUUCCAAGCAGAAACCAAGACUAUGAGGUGGUACUAUCUCUUUCAAACUAACGCCAAACCAUCAUCUUCACACUUGAACAGGACAUAAAAUCUCAGCCAGGAGAAAUCAAGCAUCAUCCUGAAGACCAAUUUAAGAUUGUAUCAUACAACUUUCAGUCUAGCUAGCAUGGACAUGCAAUCAGUCUUCAGUUAUUAUAACCCACAUAUAGCUGCCGUCAUAACUUCAACAGUAUGGUUCUCCAAUAUCAUCCAGCAGACUGUAUAUUGUAUUCAGAAGGUUACUAAAUAAACUUGUCUCACAAGCUCCGCAUAAUAUUGUGUACAUUAUCUGGUGUGUUGCGAAAACAUGACAGAAAGGUUUUCUAAAAUAAAGGAAUUUUUUGGUAAUAAAUUAAAAUUGUAAAAAGGUUGUGGCCAAGGAUUGAAACAUNNNNNNNNNNNNNNNNNNNNNNNNNNNNNNNNNNNNNNNNNNNNNNNNNNNNNNNNNNNNNNNNNNNNNNNNNNNNNNNNNNNNNNNNNNNNNNNNNNNNNNNNNNNNNNNNNNUAUAUAUAUAUAUAUAUAUAUAUAUAUAUAUAUAUAUAUAUAUAUAUAUAUAUAUAUAUAUAUAUAUAAUAUUUUAUUUAUAUAUCUAUUUAUUUAUAUAUUUAUAUAUAUAUAAUUUAAAAAAAAAAAGUGUGAUGUUGCCAGACGGGGCGACGUCACCGAGGCGACAUCGCAGGAAAAACGAGGUGACGUCGCUUUAUAUAUAUAUAUAUAUAUAUAGAGAGAGAGAGAGAGAGAGAGUCCGAUAGUGAGUAAUCCACGUACCGGUUUACUGUCGGAUCAAUACGUAUCGUCCGUACCGAGUGAUAUCAUUCAAAAUUGUAUAUCUUGGUUAUGACCGUAAAGUACAGUAACUUUCUAUAAAAAAAAAUAUAGGGAGCACUGAAAUAGAAUAUAGAUAAAUUAAAACCAAUGACAUGAUUGCAGCAGAAAAUAUUCUACAGAAGCAAUAAAACUAUUCAGUACAUACUGUCAGAUACCUUUUGCUGCUCGCAAACCUCGGGACUAGAAAACCAUGUCUCAUCAACAACUACAUCAGGAGUUGGUGGUUUACUAUUGUAUAAAACUGCAGCCAUUGAUGAUGUCACCACUACCUUUUUCACAGACCACUUCUUACAGGAUGCCAAAACAUUGAGUGUGCCCUUCACUGCUGGCUCAAUUAACUCAGCCUAAAAUAAAAGUAAAUAAAUCAGAUAAAGCUUGACAUCAUUUGCAAACUUAGAUCAAGAACCCCAUGGUCAGAUAUGAGACAAAAGAGAAAAUGAAAGACAUGAAAAGCAAGCAAUGUCCUCUUGAUAAGCCACAUUUAAUAGCAGAUACUCCAAAACCGUUGUAUCAUGUUACAGAAAUCAAUAACAAUUAUUUCUUUGGUGGAACUCUUAGUGGGUCUUAUGGUUUUGUAAUAACAGAUGAUAGAAAUAGAAAGCAAUAAAAUUACGAAAACAGUCCUUUCUAUAUGCUUCUACUGAGUUUUCAAGGAAAAAAAUAACCCAAAAAUAUUGCAUUUUACAUGGGGCAAUUUAUUAAUCACACAGUUUACAAGGAAACAAAGUCAUUUAUGUAAAAUGGAUGGUGAAGGGCCAUUGGAUGACUCUCAUGUUUCAUGCCGUUACCAAACAGAUUCUUCACUGGGAUACCUUCACGCUUCAUUGCUAUUACCUAACAGACGCUAUACUGGCAUUUCACCUAGACAUCAGCUAUUAGGUAUAACCUUGUUUGAUAAGAAAACAUAAAAAGGAAAGGGAUAUUCUGAAACUUUUAUAACUGCCUUAAUAUGUAAGAUGUUGCAUUUAGGGACAAGCUCAGAAAGCAAGGUUCAAAGAGAAAAUGUAAGUGACUGAGCAUAAUUAUAUGGGAAUAAAUAAUAGAGUUUUGAAAUUAAAGAAAUUUGUCAAAAUUAAACAAUAUAGUAACAUUGACAAGUUGGUUUGGCAGUAGAGAACUAUAGAUCAUAAAUGUAAACCUGUGGAUUCGUGAGUGCAAGAUAUAAAGGAGAUGCAGUGUGAAAAACACCAUCACAACCCUCAACCACAGCAUCAAAGGACCCCUCUUCUAAUAAGUUGGCUUUAUACAAAAGCAACCUCUCCGUGGCUCCCUCCAGAGCACGCAAGUGCUGAGUCUUCUUUUGAUCAGCUGACAAGAAUGAUUUCAAAAUAUUGAAAAGAAGACAAAAGAAUUAAGGUACAGAGGAAGUAUACAAAUAUAUAAUCUUAUAUCAUCAAUAUAAUUAUUAUAUUAAGGGUUCCAACAUGAUUUAAGUCAUCAAUAUUAAAGGAAGAUCAGAUUACAGUCAGGGUAAUUUAGGUUUCUUCCCACAAGAUAUAUCCAAUAAACCUGGUGUUUUAGGCAAAGGCUAUGAAUGUAAAGCAAUAGGCAAACAGAGUAGGAAUAUUUGCGUGCAUAUUUACAAUAAAAGAUUCUUUCAAGGAAACAAACAUCGAGCAGGAAAAUAUCAUGUAAAUCAGUUUUCCAUGGAUUGAUGCAAUUGAGCAGGAAAAUACUUCAAAACUACUACUCUCUUGUUUAUGCAAACUGUAGCCAAUUGAAAAAUAUUAAAUAAGUAUAUUCUUAUAAGCCCCCAUCUAAAUUUUAAGCCCAUUAAUCAGAAACUGUAAUCAUUUGCACAUUCAGGAUUGUUACUUGUUUUCAUUUCUAAUAGUCGGAUACUCAGCCGAAUGAUGAUUACCUUCAAUCUUUUUGCUCUGUUUUUUAAUUUUGAAAGUUACACACACCACAAACAGACAUCAUUUUGGAUAUACCCCAAGAACAGUUUCAUAUUUGAUCAAUUCAGAUCAUGAUGCAGAUGUGUGACUCACAACAUCCGGAAUAAAUAACAUAGGCUUCCCACUCCUUUGUUCUUAGAAUUCGAGCUCACGCAAUCAUCUUGUGGGAUUGCAAAAGGUCCGAAAACAUUUAGAAGGGAAGAGAUCCAAACGAUCGAGAGUGUGCUAGAUGAGUCGAAUCUACUCUUCAGAAGAAUACCGAGUUUAGCACGAACCAGGGUCACGCACGGAGGCGCGUACGGUGUAGCCGCGCUGGAGGAGGAGCUUCACAAGCCACGAGGCGAUGAAGCCGGACGCGCCCGUGACACAAACCACCUUCCCGCCGCCGCUCAUCGUGACCACAGCUCUCGCUCGGCCGGUCGCUGUUUUAGUGGAAGAGCAGGCAAAGGAUCGCAGUGGUCUGUCGAGAAGGCCGCUCCUCUGCGGCAUAAAUAGGGCGCCAAAGGCGGAAGAUAAUUAUCGGACGGCCAACUCCAUCCGCUGCUCUAACACUAACAUCACAUGACGUUACGAAUUACGACACCUGCCUGCGGCGGCACAUCGCAUCUUGCUUGUCGAGAUGGGUGAUAGUAUAAACGGAAAAGGGACAAUUCAAGUAAUCUUACCGCUUGUUUUGGACAUGAAUUUAACCAUGGAAUGAUCAGUCUGCUGACAGAGUGCCUAUCGCUAAACGCUCGUAAUCUUUUGUCAUGGUGUGCCUGUUGUGCGUGCAUUUUAUGAACUCCGAAGUCAACCCAGCUUGGGUGUUUUGGAUCCAGAAGGAAGAAGCAUGUUGCUCCUGCUGAGCUAUGCCCCAUUCUGGUAACACUUCACAAGAUAUUGAGGAGACAAAAGAUGGAUGAUUAUUCAACAUUUCCCCUGCUUAUUUCAAGUCCGUUCAUAUGUUUGGAUUCACAAGAUUUCACUUUGGUCACUGAUUCGGGUGCGAUCCUUCCAGCACAGAAAGACAAAACAAUGAAUCGAUCCAACCGAGAUGGCACUGAAUCAUGCUUUCGACAGGCCAUCAAUUUUGGGUCAGCCAUGACCGACGAUGUCGACUUCGAUGCGCUGUCAUGGUCGUUGUUCAGCUUGAUGAGUUUUGCAGUCGGAGUAAUAGGGUCUUUUUUCUUCUGUUGUCUGAAUCAAAUGUCAGAUGAGUUGGAGGAAUACAUCAGAAACCAAAUUGACUCAAAAAAAUUUACUUACUAAAGAGGGUUAAUCCAUUGAACUCACUAUUAAGUGACUUAUUCUUCAUCAAGAUAUCGAGAGUUUAAAAACUUCAUUCAGUAGUUUUUUUAAUAGCGAUCUUAAUUAUCGGUAUCAAUGUCCUAAAAUGAAAUCUUAUCUUCAUCACUUAUCUUUUUCUAAUAAAUUUACAAAAUUUUCAAAAAUAAGAAUAAAUUUUAUUUUUAUUGCUUCAAAGUUCUCUUCUUAUUUAUGUUUAGAUGACAUUUUCAUUUAGAAUGAAUAAUUGUCCAAUCCAUUUCUUUGAUUUUACUUCUCAUCCUCAUAGAGAUAUUUAGUUUGUGUAAUAUGAGGAUGGAACAAGAUAACAACUAACCACACUUAUAUUAUAUGAAGAACACAUUCCAAUAUAAACUUAUAAUCUAUCACACCAACAACAGGCAUGACACCAUAAUGGAGCACAAAUAUGUCCUCGUUUCUAAAAAACAAAUUGCAUGUGCUGAAAAGAUCAAUUACAGGAUUAUGCAAUGCAUGAUUUACUGCUUCAAAGUUCGACAAGCAUCGCCAUUGAUCUGGGAUGCAAAAUUAUUUAUUAUGCUAAUUCAAGUUUUAGAAAUUAAUAAAGUUCUUCUCCUUCAGGCUCUCGAUCGUUUCCUUGAUGCUUGUUUCCAGAGGGAUGUAGUAGAGGCCCAAGCUUUUAAACUUUUCCUUGGAGACUUUGUAUACCGGCACAAAGGGCUUGUCAUCUGCACACCUGCCAACGUUAUGGUCACAGCUUAGUACACCAAAAGGAGAUGGUAGCCACAGAAUGUACUAAAAUUACAGCUUCCUUUUAUAGAAUCAUUUCUUCAGCCAUUAGUGACCGAUGAACAAGCAAUGGCAAAGACCUCGAUACAAUGUACAUGGCAAGAAGAACAAGCUGGUCAUAGCCACUAAAUGAAUUAUACCAGAGGAAAGCUAUGCCAGCAUUACAGAAUGUUACUGACUAAUUUAUAUGGUGCACAUUAUCAGAUAUCAAUAUGAUCGGAUGUUCAGAAGUUCUAGAACUCUUUCAGUUCAAAACAAAAGUUAAGAACUAUGAACUUCGUACAGUAGAACUUAGCAGAACUCAGACGAAGAUAUGCUUUGAGAACCAUUCUCCUUGUGUCUUGCUGUUGUUGGGUCUUAUUGCUAUUUCAUUACUACUAUGUUUUUAAUUCUAGGAGAGAUGGUUAUAUGUAUCACUUAGAAUUGCACGGAUGACGAUAAAGAGAGUGAAAGUAAAGACAGAAGGAUAAUAAAUAAAAUAAAAUAAGUAAUUGCAUCAUCCAUUGGCCUAAUCUAAAGAACAGACAUUAUAGAAGCACACAACAAUGAGACCAUGGGGUAUGCCUAAUCUGGAACUUAGAUUUUAUAUCCUAUAUACAUCAAAAUUGCAAUUAUACAAAAUGCCUAAUAAUAAAACCAUAAGCCGUCGUGUUCCAAACAAAAUUAUUUGAAAUCAGUUAUAUGGAUCUUUCCCUAUCAUUAAGUCAUGUAUAAG
rnacentral:lncRNA from 1 species